GACGAACGCUGGCGGCGUGCUUAACACAUGCAAGUCGAACGAAGAGCGACGGAAGCUUGCUUCUAUCAAUCUUAGUGGCGAACGGGUGAGUAACGCGUAAUCAACCUGCCCUUCAGAGGGGGACAACAGUUGGAAACGACUGCUAAUACCGCAUACGAUCUAAUCUCGGCAUCGAGGAGGGAUGAAAGGUGGCCUCUACAUGUAAGCUAUCACUGAAGGAGGGGAUUGCGUCUGAUUAGCUAGUUGGAGGGGUAACGGCCCACCAAGGCGAUGAUCAGUAGCCGGUCUGCGAGGAUGAACGGCCACAUUGGGACUGAGACACGGCCCAGACUCCUACGGGAGGCAGCAGUGGGGAAUCUUCCGCAAUGGACGAAAGUCUGACGGAGCAACGCCGCGUGAGUGAUGACGGCCUUCGGGUUGUAAAGCUCUGUUAAUCGGGACGAAAGGCCUUCUUGCGAAUAGUGAGAAGGAUUGACGGUACCGGAAUAGAAAGCCACGGCUAACUACGUG
rnacentral:rRNA from 1 species